rnacentral:rRNA from 1 species
UACGGGGGGGGCAAGCGUUGUUCGGAAUUACUGGGCGUAAAGCGCACGUAGGCGGAUUGUUAAGUCGGGGGUGAAAUCCUGGAGCUCAACUCCAGAACUGCCUUCGAUACUGGCGAUCUCGAGUUCGGGAGAGGUGAGUGGAAUUCCUAGUGUAGAGGUGAAAUUCGUAGAUAUUAGGAAGAACACCAGUGGCGAAGGCGGCUCACUGGCCCGGUACUGACGCUGAGGCGCGAAAGCGUGGGGAGCAAACAGG